GGUUCUUUGAUAAAAUAAAGUAAAGAAUCUUGCCUGCCCGGUGAUGAAAAUUUAACGGCCGCGGUAAUUUAACUGUGCGAAGGUAGCAUAAUCAAUUGUCUAUUAAUUGUGGACUGGAAUGAAUGGUAUGACUAGAGAUUGGUUGUCUUGGUUUUAAUUUGAAAUUUUCUUUUUCUUGAGGAGAAGAAAAUGUGUCAGGGGGACGAGAAGACCCUAUUGAGCUUUAUAUAGAUUAUUAUAGUUAUUUGUGGUGAAUUUAAUGGGUAUGAAAUAUUUUGCUGGGGCGGUGGGUUUAAAAUUAAAACAAUUUUUAAAAGGAAUAUUUUAAAUGAGAAUUUGAUCCAAUAUAAUUGAGUAUAAGACUAAGUUACUGUAGGGAUAACAGCGUAAUAUUAUUUAGAAGUACUAAUUUGUGAUAAAGAUUGCGACCUCGAUGUUGGUUUAGGAAACUUGUUUGGUGCAGAUGCUAAAUUAAGUAGUCUGUUCGACUAUUAAAUUCCUAUA
rnacentral:rRNA from 1 species